rnacentral:misc_RNA from 1 species
AUAGACGUGGAGGGUGACUGCGUCAUCACCAAGGGCUGAAAGCGACGCUCAUCGAAACACAUUCUUUUUUUAUUUUAAUUCCACGUACAUUUUUACUUUCCUUUUUUUGAAAUGUUUUGUAAUGAAUUCUUGAAAAUUGUGUGAGUUUUUGUGCACGGAUCUAUCACACGUAUAUAAAUAAAAAUAAAGGUU